rnacentral:rRNA from 1 species
AUACGGAGGAUCCGAGCGUUAUCCGGAUUUAUUGGGUUUAAAGGGAGCGUAGGUGGGAUAUUAAGUCAGCUGUGAAAGUUUGGGGCUCAACCUUAAAAUUGCAGUUGAUACUGGUUUCCUUGAGUACGGUACAGGUGGGCGGAAUUCGUGGUGUAGCGGUGAAAUGCUUAGAUAUCACGAAGAACUCCGAUCGCGAAGGCAGCCCACCGGGCCGGAACUGACACUGAUGCUCGAAAGUGCGGGUAUCAAACAGGAUUAGAUACCCUGGUAGUCCGCACAGUAAACGAUGAAUACUUGUUUUCGGCGAUAUAAUGUCGGAGGCAAAGCGAAAGCGAUAAGUAUUCCACCUGGGGAGUACGCCGGCAACGGUGAAACUCAAAGGAAUUGACGGGG